rnacentral:tmRNA from 1 species
GGGGGCGAUGUGGGCUCGACGGGGACAUGGAUGGUCGGACUGCAUGUCGGAGGCCCGGACUCCGUUAGCAAUCGGGAACGGCUAUAAGUGCCGACUAUUCCUACGCUAUGGCUGCGUAAGUCAGCCACGCUGUUCAUGGUUUCGCCCACGGACCGUGAAUAGCGCCAUUUAGUGGGCUUAGGCUUUGGCGUGCUCGCCUGUGCACGCCACGGCGACAUUGAACAGGCAAGGCUUUUUGCGGGUUGCCCGUGACCCGCUCAAAGCCUAAUCGCUCACGAGGCUAAGCAUGUAGUAUGUCCGAACCUGAAGGUCUUCGGAAGGGGGUUCGAUUCCCCCCGCCUCCACUA